rnacentral:rRNA from 1 species
UGUAUCCUACGGGGCGCAGCAGUGAGGAAUAUUGGUCAAUGGGCGCGAGCCUGAACCAGCCAAGUCGCGUGAGGGAUGACGGUCCCAUGGAUUGUAAACCUCUUUUGUCAGGGAGCAAAGUCACCCACGUGUGGGUGUUGGAGAGUACCUGAAGAAAAAGCAUCGGCUAACUCCGUGCCAGCAGCCGCGGUAAUACGGAGGAUGCGAGCGUUAUCCGGAUUUAUUGGGUUUAAAGGGUGCGUAGGCGGGUUAUCAAGUCAGCGGUAAAAUCGUGGAGCUCAACUCCAUCCAGCCGUUGAACCUGA